AGACUAAGGAGGCUGCGAAUUCAACACGCAGCAGGCUAUGUAAUUGUUAUAGAAUAUAUAUAGGCUUCGUAGAAAAUAAUUCGUUAGUGCUGUUUGUUAUAUUUACCGUCUUUACUGGAGGAGUGUAGGUGAAUAUCAUUAAACUAAUAACAAUCAAAAAUGAAACAACAACUCAGUGUGAUUCUUCUCUUUUGUUUAAUUGGGUUCCAACUCGAAGAAGUCAGCAGCACAAAAAUUGAAGAUUUUUCGAUGAGCCAUGUGUUUAAAACCUCAGGACCGUCGUUCAAAUGGACUGAUAAGUGGAACGUAAAACCGCAAGAUGUGCACGUUUCCGACGACGAAAGUCAACUUGAGGACAUGCUUGAUUUAUGGGACUAAAACAGCAAUUUCCAUUAACAAGAAAGAAAUCUGCACACAUGUAUUGUAUUUCAUUAUAUUCACAGUUCACAUAAAAUGUUGUGCUUAUUGAACAAAAUACAUAAAUAUAUACUGUU